CACGUAGGCGGAUAUUUAAGUCAGAGGUGAAAGCCCGGGGCUCAACCCCGGAACUGCCUUUGAAACUAGAUGGCUUGAGUGUCGGAGGGGUAAGCGGAAUUCCUAGUGUAGCGGUGAAAUGCGUAGAUAUUAGGAGGAACACCGGUGGCGAAAGCGGCUCUCUGGUCUGUAACUGACGCUGAGGCUCGAAAGCGUGGGGAGCGAACA
rnacentral:rRNA from 1 species